rnacentral:rRNA from 1 species
GACGAACGCUGGCGGCGUGCCUAAUACAUGCAAGUAGAACGCUGAAGGAGGAGCUUGCUUCUCUGGAUGAGUUGCGAACGGGUGAGUAACGCGUAGGUAACCUGCCUGGUAGCGGGGGAUAACUAUUGGAAACGAUAGCUAAUACCGCAUAAUAGUAGAUGUUGCAUGACAUUUGCUUAAAAGGUGCAAUUGCAUCACUACCAGAUGGACCUGCGUUGUAUUAGCUAGUUGGUGAGGUAACGGCUCACCAAGGCGACGAUACAUAGCCGACCUGAGAGGGUGAUCGGCCACACUGGGACUGAGACACGGCCCAGACUCCUACGGGAGGCAGCAGUAGGGAAUCUUCGGCAAUGGACGGAAGUCUGACCGAGCAACGCCGCGUGAGUGAAGAAGGUUUUCGGAUCGUAAAGCUCUGUUGUAAGAGAAGAACGAGUGUGAGAGUGGAAAGUUCACACUGUGACGGUAUCUUACCAGAAAGGGACAGCUAACUACGUG